ACACACACACACACACACACACAUACACACACAAUCACCUUCGUUUUUGAGCCAUGCCCUCAUUAUAUAUUUUUUUGCUCAGCACUUAUUUUUAUUGCAUGAUUUUCUCUGUUAUCAUUUUCUCUCAAACUUCAAUUAUUCAGAUCACUAAAAUGCAUCAGUCAUUACCAUUUUGAAGUUAAAAUGGAAGUAAGGAUCUCUUUCCCAAUAGUGGAAGUCCAUUUACAGUGAAAAAAUUAUCAUGUGUAGCAAUGACCAAACUCUAUGUAGGUAGCAUGAUAAAGGUGACCUUCCCAUCCUUACCCUACAAAGCACUAUUUCAAUUACCAUCUUUCCUCCCUUCCUCCUUAGUCCUGAGAUGUCCACCUGGCUGGCCUGGCAGUGAAACUGUAGAUUUCCUCUGGACCUUUAGCCCUAGAUCUUCCAUGAGGACCUCCUGGCUCUCAUCCAGCUCAAUGCUCUCCCACUCCCCAGAUACUGGCUUCUGGUGGGUGACUGAUGAUAAAAUGAUCUCACAAAGUUGCUGAAGCUGGCCUUGAACUUGCGAUCCUCCUGCUUCAGCGUCCAGAGUAGCUGGGAUUACAGGUAUGUACCACCACACCUGGCAAAAAGCACUUUCUUUUUGGACAAUGUGGUUUAGGUUUCUACCUUUCUGUCAAACACGAGACUAACUUAGCUCUUCCUGUGUCCUUCUUUACUUCGGAGGAGACGCAAUAUACGUUCAUUUUUGGUGAGUUCUGCUGGAAGUUCAUUGGCCUGAAAACAAGAUGAGAUGGACAUUAGUGAAUUCCCAUAGCUGGUGUGAUUUCAGGGACUCUAAAGAGGGCACCUGACCCACAACUUUCUCUUUCACUAGUGAAAAAUCCCCAUUGGACACUCUUUUGUAUUAAAGCAAUCAAAAUCUCAUUUAAACAUAUAAAUGUUACCUGUUACUUUCUGAUCUCAGUGUUAUUUUUCUUUCCAUCCAGGACCUUAAGAAUCUCCUGGAGGGUAGGAUCUACGUUGUAGAAAUCAUUAUGUCCUCAUUUCCAACACAACGUGCAGUGCAUCUUAUUUCUGCUCAUAAACACCAGUCAAGUUAAAGUUGAUACCUUAUUCUUAAUUAUUUAUAAUGUGAGGUGGUCUGUCCAAUAGGGACUUAGGACACAGGGCAAGUAUCUUUUCUUUCUUCUGCAUUCCAAUUUAUUUAUUCAUUUAUUAUUUUUAAAUUUUACACAUUUAUGGGCCACAAUGUGAUAAUUUGAAUAUGCAUAUAGAGGGUAAUGAUCAAAUCAGGGUGAUUAGCAUUUCCCGCUCCUUAAACAGUUAUCAUUUCUUUGUGUUGGGAAGCUUAAAACGCCUCUUUUCUGGUUCUCUAUCAAAUGUAUAAUAAAUUGUUGUAAGCUAUGCCAUCCGGUGCUGUAGAACACUAGAAUUUAUUCUUAACUAACUGUAUUUUGGCACCUGUUAUCUGAUUCCCCCUAUUAUCCCUUCCCCACCCUUUCUAGCCUCUAGUGACCAUUCUACUUUUUGCUGCUAUGAAAUCAACUCUUCAGCUUGCACCUAUAAGUGAGAACUUGCAGUGUUAGGACACAUAUCUGUGGAUGAGAAGAAAGAGUUAGGUAACACACAGAGCAGAACAAAACCCAAGAAAGAACAGCUUCAUGGUGACUACAACCUUCACCUGACCCAGUAACUCACCACAGGUAUCCCCCAACACCUGAAGUCCCUUCUUUUCUUAUUGCUGUGGAGACAGUCUCCACUCGGGAAUCCAGUUCCUUCCACAGGCAAUAGGUGUUAUAGGACAAUGGUUCUCAAGCUUUUGUGGUCUUAGGAUCUCUGCCUAUGCUUAAAAAGUAUUGAGCACUCUAACAAGAUUUUGGUUUUGACUUAUUAGAAAUUAAAACUGAGAAAAAAUUUAAAUAUACUUCCUAAUGUAUUAAAAAUAAUAAAUCCAUUAUAGGUUAUAAUAUAUAACAUAUUUUUGGAAAAAAACAACUACAGUUUCAAAACAGAAAAAAAUGAGUAAGAGUAGCACUGUUUAAUAGUUUUGCAUAAAUCUUUAAUGUGUAGCUUAAUAAAAGACAGUUGGAUUCUCAUAUCUACUUCUGCAUUGGUGUUUUGUGAUAUGUUAUUUUUGUUGAAGCACAGGGAGAAAUUUUAGUUUCACACAGAUGCAGAAUUGGAAAAGGGAGGAGAUUUUAACAGCUUGGCAGAUUACUGAACUAUAUUGGAUGCUACACCAAACUUCAACAAAAGGUGAAGCGCCUGCUGUCCUCAUCAUCUAGGCUGGAUCUUGUUCCCUGACCCCUGCUUCCCUACCUGCUGGCUGGGACCUCACUUGUGGGGAAGUAUGACUUUGCCACAGCGGUCUGCUGUGUGGCAUGUUCUGUAGCUGCGCUCGUGCCCACCACAUGGGACCUUUGAUGUUGCCCCUGGACUGAAUCAGAAAGGAAACUGCUAUGCUCUGCCAGAGGCCCUUUCAUGAGGUCAAAGUCUACUAUGUGCUUAGUUCCUGCAAGAGCAGACAUUGCACAACUUAACACCUGGGCCUGCAGGGAAAUGCUCCUGGUAAACAGACCUAAGCGUCACUCAGUCUCCAGAGUAAACACUCAGGAAUAACUGAACUGAUAAUAUCAGUUAUUGAUCAGCGGCGAGCACGCCAGAGGUGGCCAGAUGAGCCACUGCAGUCAGGAGGAAGAAGGAGCUAUGGAGCUGUAUGUCUAUAAGUUUGCUCACUUCUCAGUGCCUUGUGUGAUCAUCUGCCUGCAUGUUCACAUCCUUUUCCAUGAAAAAUGAGCUUUAUUAUUAAAUUUUGCUUGAAGAAUGUGUCUCAGCAGCAAUAUG